UUAUGCUCUUCUUAAAUUGGAUAAGCACCCUGGUUAUAAAGUAAGUAGCCUUUGUAGUGCUUUGACCUUUUAGUGUUUUAUUUGCUAUACACAUUCUAAGGAAAUGAGUAAGUUAUGCUAGGUUGAACCUGCAAAGCUCUCCCUUGAUCUUGCUAAGAUGACUCCAGAGAUUAAGGCACACACCAGAAGUUCUAUUUGCCCGCAAUGUAGCAAGGUUUUGAUUCCCGUAGAAGUUGUUGCUUGUUACUUUGUUAUUGUGGUUGCAGUCUAACCUUUUUUUGUUUUUUUUAUUUUGCAGAGCUCGCAGAACGGUUAAUUUUAUUGCCUUCUUUCGGCUUGCAAAGAAAGCAACUUAUCUUCAAGCAUGUCUAAUGCAUGCUCACUUUGCAAAGGAUGAGGACAUGGACGGUCUUUUGGAGUAUCAUGGGUUCUUGGUAAAAGCAUUUGGAGAACCAUACAUACAUGGUGAAAGAAGGCCUGUUUCUCAACGCUGAUACUGAAUACCCCAAAAAGUGUUCCAAACUUGUGCACAAGAAAAGGUCUGAGAGGAUAGUUGAGGAUGUUUCACCCUCAAUUCAUGCUGAAUUACUACCUCGUGAGACUAUGAAAGAGAUUCAGAUGAUUAAAGCAUACAAGCAUGAGCCCCAGACAGAUUCAGCUUCUGAAAACAAUAAUUAUGUCCAGAAGCUUGAUGAGGAAAUUCAAGAAUCUAAAGCCAUUUACUCUCCAAAGGAUAAUAAAUCAGGAAAGGCAUUUAAGGAAAUGCAAGAUAUUCAUGACAGUGAAAUUAUGAUAUGGCCAGCACUCCGUCACCAUUGAGCUUCCCCUUUGAUAACAUUAUGCCUGAACCGCAACAUACAAGAAUUGGCAGUUUGAAGAGUACAAAUUAUUUUAAGGCUUUUGAAGCUUCCCCAAGGAGAAACUCACGUGCUAAUGUGGAUGUCAGGCCAUUGGAGGUUAUACCAAAAAUAUUCCACCAGAAAGUUCAUUAGCUAAUAGUUUUUCUUUGCCACCUCCUGGUGUCCAGACUGUAUCCGAGGAUGAUUCUCUGUUUACUCACCAAGAACAUUAAGAUGAAAUUCUUGAACUUAACACUGUGUUUAUUCACCCUGAAUAUGAAGAUGAAAUUCAUGAAGUUAGAGAAAAUUGUCACGAUGAAUAAGUUGCUUAGCCCAAGCUGAAGUUGUUCUUAAGGUUUUCAUGCCUUGUUCCAAUACACAAUUUUAGGGCUUUGGCAUAUGAAUUACUCAUGAUAUGGAGGAGACGGGUGUCAAAACUAAAGAUAUUAAGGGAAGAGAGGCAAUUAGCAUCAAAUGCUGCACUUAACUCAUUACCAUUGGCCCCCUAAUUCGACAUUGUAUAGAAAAUACUGGUUACUUUGACAAGUUUGAUAUUGAUACAACGAUGAGGGAAAGAUAUGGAAAACAGGAAAACUCACGGUCAAGACUUAAUGUUUCUAAUAUAGUUGUUGACACACUAGGCAGAAGAAAUCCAGAUACUAAAUGCUUGU